rnacentral:tRNA from 1 species
GCACCUGUCGUCCAACGGAUAGGGCAUCAGUCUUCGAAACUGACUAUCUCGGUUCGAUUCCGAGUGGGUGCUCCA